AUCCUCAAAGACCACGACGCCAUCUUCGCCAACCGCGACAUUCCGGUGGCGGCCAUAAAAGGAACCUUUGGCGGACUCGACAUUGUGUGGAGAUCCAAUGGCCCAGAAUUACACAAGCUACGAAAGCUCGACGUAAGUGAAAUCAUGAGCAACAAAGGCCUCAAUGCUUGCUACGAGUUUCGCCGACGAGAGAUCCGACAUAUGGUCAAGAAUAUUCAUGGAAAAAUCGGGUCACCCAUUAACCUCAGUGAACAAUAUUCUUAACAAUGUUCAACGUUACGGUUAACAUGCUUUGGGGUGGUUCGUUGAAUAGAGAAGAAUCGAACCUUGGGCAUGAAUUUAAGGAUUGAUUUGAGGAAUUUUUGAGAUUGAUGGUAGAACCCAAUGUUUCUGAUAUGUUCCCGGUGCUCAGGCCAUUUGAUUUGCAAGGAAUUGAAUCCAAAGCCAAGAAAAAUAUUUCAUGGUUUUAUGAGUUUUUCGAAUCGGUGAUAGAGCAGCGAAGGAAGCUCGGAGAGGGACCAAAAAUGGCUAGUAGUAAGGAUUUUUUGGAGCAAUUGUUGGAGCUGAACCAAACAGGAGAUGUCAAAAUUUCAUUAUCCAUGAAGGAAAUAAACGCUGUGCUGCUGGUAAGCAUACACACUAAAUUUUGAAAUCCGGAAUUCUAAAAAUAUAACUACAUUACUAAAUUUCAAAAAUUUACAAAAAAAAAACAUAUUUUAACCUAGGGGGUAUAUCAGUGUAAAACAAGUUUAAGUGGUUUUCCAUUCUUUCUUAAUUUUUUAAACAAAUAAUAUUUUAAUAACAACGGUCAUAUUUCAUAAAUUAUUCAUGUACAUCAUGCACAUCAAGUUUGGUAUAAAUUAAAAAAAAUUUAAUUAUUCGCUUUUUGAAAAAAAAAAUUCAAAUGUUCAUUCGUUAAAAUAUUAAUCGUACAAGAAUAUACAUAAAUAUGUAAAUUACUCAAAUUUCACAUCGAUGUAAAUUCAUCCUUUCCCUUGUAUAUAGGCAUUGUUUAAAAAAAAUACAUAACAAUCCAUGAAAUUGGUCGGUUUAGUUGUAAACAAAAUGAUUUUGGAGAUUUCUGGUAUGUUUUGUAGGGCGUGUAAUUGGUUGAUUUAAUUAGUUCAGCUUAAAAAAAUUAAUCGAUUUUUCUAAAAUAAAAAUUAGUAACCGAGUUGAUUUAAAGAUGAAAACACAAUAAUCGAACCGAUUCUGAUUUAAUUAAAAAAAAAGGAAUAUUGAUGGAUUUCAUUAAAAUAUAUUUAGGUUUAGGUUUUGAAUAACCUUAAAACACAUUGUUAGUGCUUUUAUUUCGAUAAAAUUUAAGAUUUUGUUUCUAAGAAGUUAAUUUUUUUUAUUCAAAAUCUUAAUUCAACGGUUAAUAUGAGAAAUAUUUUUUAUCAAAAUUUAUCAACUUGAAAUAUUAAUAUUUUCAUAUAAUUUGAUAAUAAUUGAUAAAAACUAAGUUAAUAAAAAUUAACUGAAUUAUUAAAGGUGUUAAUUAAACUACAAUUUUUAAAUUGAAAAUAUAAUGAAUAAAUCUCAAAUCCCAUGUAAGUAGAAGUAUUUUGACCUUUGAAUAAUGGGUACAUUUAAUUGAUUGUAACUUAUUUUAAAGUAUAUAAAAUCAAGCUAUUGAUAUACAUUCAACCUAUAUAAUGUAUUUUAAUUUAACGCUCUAAUCAUAAUUAAAUUAAUUAAAUUAUCUCGAUUAAUUUGAUUUUAAUUAAAAUCUGCUCAACUUUAAUCCUUUGUCUCAAAUUGUGGGUAUAGAAUAUUGUAAGUGGUGCUACGGACACAACAUUUACAACAAUGGAGUGGGUGAUGACGGAAUUACUACGAUACCCAGAUCAAUUGCGAAGAGCCGUCGACGAGUUGGAUGCAAUAAUUGGUGGCCCAAACAUCGUUGAAGAGUUUCGUCUUCCUCGCCUACUCUAUUUAGAAGCUGUGGUGAAAGAGACAUUACGAAUUCACCCACCUGCUCCUUUGCUAAUGCCACACAUAUCGAGUGAGACCAUCGUCGUAGCCGGUUACACUAUCCCCAAAAAUUCCAAUAUUUUCUUCAACGCGUGGGCAAUACAAAGGGACACUGAGUUCUGGGAAGACCCUCUUCAAUUCGAGCUAGAAAGGUUCUUGAAUGUCAUUGAGAAAAGGAAUUAUAAGGAAAAUAGUUUCGAUUUUUUUCCCGUUUGGAUCGGGGAGGAGGAUUUGUGUUGGGGUUUCAAUGGCAGAGAGAAUUAUGAUGUUGGUGUUGGCGACAUUGUUGCAUUGUUUCGAAUGGGAAUUGCUGAAUAGGCGAAAACCUGAUGUGAAAGAGCAACUACGAUUGGUGUUGUCAAAGGUGGAGCCACUUGUUCUUGUGCACAUUGCCCGUUCAUCUAAUUCAAUGCAAUAUCAAUAAAUUUAUGGUUAAAAUAUGCUUUAAGUCAUUAUACUUUUCAUAAAUUUUAAAUUUAAUCCUUGUACUUUUAUUUAUAGAAAUUUAAUCCAUCUACUUAUUUUCAUUAGUAUUCACGCUAAGGUUUAGGUUAAUUCGAAUAUCUUUUUGGAUUCAAUUUAACUCAAAUUUUGAGUUUUAUUUAAAAUUUGGAACUUAAUCAAAAUUUAAACUUUGUUAUGAAUCUCAAAAUUCGAUUUUUUUUUUUGAAAUGAAACCCGAAAUGUGGAAUUACAUAAAACUUGAAAUUGAAGCUCGAGACUAGUGAAUCAAUGUUAUAUUAAGGUAUAAAUAAGAUAUUUUGUGUUUAUUUUUGGGAUCUUACAGUAUAUUUUCCGAUUAGUUUUCCAAGCUCUAUUUUCCGGUUAUUUUCUAUUUCUUUGAAAAGUGCAACACCAAUUUUGUUUCAUCUUCUUUAUUCCGGUGUACAAAUAUUGAAAUACUAUGUUAACUUUGGGGGCGAUAUCCACUAAACGAUUACAGUGAUUAGUACGAAUUUGCUUAAAAGGUAAUGGUUCUUCCACAACACAGUUAUUAUUUAAUUUAUUUACACACAAUUUAUUUAUCCAAUUAGUGCUAAAAAUUUUGUUUUGCAGUGGUAUAUUUCUUACAAUAAUUUCAUAAUUUAUUUGUACAAAUCAGUUAAUGUGAAAAACGUUAAGAGUUAAAUUUUUUAGAAUCAAUACUAAAUUGACAUAAUAUAGAAAUGUUGAAUGUUAAAGUUAACGGGUGGUGAUAAACUACCAUUAUUUUAUAACUUUUCAUAAUUGAGCAAUUAAUAAAUAAACUUGAGUAUAAUUUAUGUUUUUAAAAAAAAAUAGAAGUAUGUGAUAGAGAGAGAUAUCAACGAUGUUUUAUCCCACCAACUCCCUCUAUGCCCUGGAGUACUUUAGCCAACCAGCAUAAAUCUCUUUCCAAUAAGCCUUCACUAAUUCAACUAGUUACAAGAUAAAAUAUUUGGCAUAGUUUUUGGUAUUUCUUCAUAAUAAUUGGUAUACUCUUAUAAUUUUCAAUACACUUUUAUAAUUUUUGGUAUUUUUUUGAAAUGAAAAUUUGAAAUGAAGUAUAAUUUUAGAGUAAAAAGGUUUUCAAUGCCAUUUUUUAGACCAAAAAAUUAUUAACUUUUAAAUUAUUAUUUUUUAUGCUAAUAUCAAUAUAUAGUAAUAAGGUUUUAAAAAUUAAUAAAUGAAAUAAAUUUAAUAAGGUCAACCAAUUUUUGAUAGGCACUUAUACUUUUUGGUACUCUUUAAUAUUUUUUGAUAUUUCUUUGUAUUUUUUUAUAUUCUCUCCUAAGUUUUUCAUUUUUGGGUUGAUUAAAGGUCAAAACUUUGCAUUUUGAUUUUUGUUUCUAUUUGGUUGGUGAGAAAGAUGAAAGAAAAUACUCUAACAUCACUUUAUUUAUUUAUUUAUUUUUAAAUAAAAGGAUGCUUUUUCACACUAAAAUAAGGAUGUCAAAAUUCAAAUUACUUCAUGAAUUUUGAAUUAAUCGACUCUGAAUGAAGCUGAUUUUUUUAUUUGAAAAAUGGAUAUGGGACGGGGUGGGUGGAUUUUUUUCUGUUGAAUAGUGAGUACGGAACGGCUAUGGUAAUUUCUUGCCAUUUUCGACCUGCUCCACUAUAUAUAUUUAUUGUUUUAUCCUUGUAUAUAUAAACUAUUAAAAGGGUAAAAAUAUAAUAAUGGAAUAUAGAAAAAAAUUAUAUAUUUUAUGUUUAAAUAUUUUUUAAAGAAUUAUACUUAAAUAUUUACCUGACUUCAAAAAUAUUGAAAAAAAUUAAAAACAAGUAUCAACAAUUAAAUUGAAGCGGAGCGGAGUGGGGUGGAGAUGGAUGCAUCCAACAUCCAUGGAGGUGGUAGUGGAUUUCAAGAUUAUACAUCUAUAGUAGAGCGGGAUGGGCGGUAAAGCAGAGUGUGUCAAUUAUGAAACAGUAAUGGAUUUAGCAAUAUCAGUCAUGCCUCACCCAAUUGCCAUCCCUACAUCCUUCUCUAUAUUCAAAUUUAGUCAUAAUUUUCUCUAUUUCUUUUAAUUGAAGUAUCCGGUUAAUAACUUAAUUAUUAAAAAACAAAAAAAAGAGUAAAGUAUUUAAAAUAAAAAAUAGGCAGAGUUGAAAGUUUCCACAUGCUUUGGCUGAAAAUAUAUAAAGGUUAUAAAAUAUAGAAAUUUAGUUUUAUAAAGAUUUCAUUUAGAUUUUAUUUACUAUGUAAUUACAUUCAAAAUUUAUAAUUUCUAAACAAUUGAAUGACGUGUAAAAUAUGUAUAAAUAUUUUAUAACGUUUCAAUUAUUAGGAAAGUGGUGAAGGACGUUAUCAUUUAAUAGUUCAAAUAAGUCCCUCUAUCCUUUUUUUGUAUUCGAAUUAAAGUACACGAUAAAAUUAUUUUUUAUUAGAGCAAAGUUUCAAUAAUAAAUACGAUUAGCGUGACUCGAAUCUAAGCUACACUUGAGACGAUGAACACUUUUAACCAUCAAGCCAUUACAUGGAAUUCAAUUUUAUCUAUUUUCAAUUCAAAAAUAAUUCAUAAAUAUCCAUGGGAAAAUCGAGUCACCCAUUAACCUCAGUGAACAAAUAUUCUUAACGGCAUUCAAUGUUACAAGUAACAUGCUAUGGGGUGGUUGGUUGAACGGAGAAGAAUCGAAGCUUGGGCUUGAAUUUAAGNNNNNNNNNNNNNNNNNNNNNNNNNNNNNNNNNNNNNNNNNNNNNNNNNNNNNNNNNNNNNNNNNNNNNNNNNNNNNNNNNNNNNNNNNNNNNNNNNNNNAAAAUAUAUUUAGGUUUAGGCUUUGAAUAAACUAUAGACACAUUGUUAUUUUUUUAUAUCAAUAAAAUUUAGGAUUUUGUCUCUAAACAAGUUGAUUUUUUUUAUUCAAAGUCUUAAUUUAACUAUUAAUAUCAAAAAUAUUUUUGGUCAAAAUUUAUCAAUUCAAAAUGUUAAUUUAAAUGUCAUCAUAUGAUGUGAUAAUUUUUUAUAAAAAUAAACAUGAUAAGUUAAAAAAAUUUAACUGAAAUACUAAAAGUGUUAAAUGACAAAACUACAAAUUUUAAAUUGAAAAUAUAUUUUUCGAAAUCAUUUUUUGUAAGGGGGUUGACUUUCUGUUUAAAAACGAAAAUGGAGUCGCCGCCAAUCCUUUUUAUUUAGGUGUGAUCGGAUCACCUCAUAAUUUAAUCAUUUUAAUAAAAGUUUAAAUUUACUAAAACGAUAAUUUUUUGUCUUCAAAAUCCAAAAAAAUGGGUUCGAGAGUCGGUUACGCUCGAGGAAGGAUUAGCACCCUCGAUAUGCCCAAAAUUGGUACCUAGUUGAUUACUUAAUGUCUUAAUGCCGAAAAUUGAAAUUUUGAAAAGAUUUUAAAAUACAAUCCUUUUUUAUCAAUGUUCAUUAUAAAAAUGCCUGAAUAAAUCGAAAAGAAAUUUAAAGACCCUCUCGUCUCGAGGUAACGAAAUGCCACGUCUCGUAAGUUAGGACACGACACUUGGAACCCUCAAGAAUAAGCUUGCCUUUAAUUUUUAUUGAAAUUCCAUGUAUUUUGAAAUUUAAAAUGAUAUUUUGCUAUUUAGGUUUAACGAGAAAAUUGAAACCCCGUAAGUUAGGAUAUGAUUUCUUGAAUCUCCAAAAUGCGAAAUAUUGCCUUAUUUUAAAAAUUUUAAAAUAGAACAGUUUAUUAUGGGUAUAUAAAAAUUAAACGCGACUUUUGAAGUGAUGAAAUGAAAUGGAAUGAUAAUAUAGAACAUGGAAUAACGAUUUAUGAAUAAAAUGUUACAUCAAUGAGUGACAAUAAUAUGAAAACACGAAUAAACGAAUUAUAGUACACAUGAUAGCAAUAAUCACACAAAGCAUGUCACUUUAAUAUCAAUAUUAACAAUCAAGGAAAGCGAACCAAAAUAAUAUAUGAAAAGGAAAGCGAACCAAAAUAAUAUAUGAAACAAUUUAAAGUAAAUAAUAGUUUAAAAUAAAUAAUUUACGAGAACAAUUCGAAGUAAAUGAUAAAAGGUUUCAAAUAAACAAUAUAAAAAAAACUUAAAAAUGAAUAAUAACAAAACAGUUUAAAAUAAAUAAUAUAAAAAUAACAUAUAAAACAAUUUUUUUAAAUAAUAUAUAAAAAUUUUAAAUGAUAAUAUAUAUAAUAGUUUAAAAUAAGUAAUAUAAUAAAAAAAUUUAAAUAAAUAAUAGGUAAAAAUAGUUUAGAAUAAAUAAUAUAUAUAAAAAACUUAAAAUAAAUAAUAACAAAAGAGCUCUUUUUUUAAAAAAGAAAAUAAAUGAAUUAAAUGGACUGAGUACGAGAUUAAAAUCGAACUAAAGUUCAGGGUUUAAAUUGUAAAUAAAUAAGAAAGGGUUACUAGGGACCAAAAUAGAACGUGCUUAAAAAGAAUGAGCGACUGACUGGGAAAAUAUUCCCAGCCCCUAUGCGCAGCGUUCCAGCAUGGACCAAAGUGAAGCAAGCGGAAGGAAAAAAAAAAUUAUACCGCAAAAUUAAAAAGGAAAAAAAAACAAGUGAGGACUAAAUUGCAAAGCAUCGCAAAAGCAGAAGGACCGCGUACGCAAAUAGCCCAUUUAAAGCAAAAACGCGUAGAUCUUGGUUGCAUUCGGGUCGAUUUUUGGGUCUGAUGCAAAACGGCAUCGUUUUGGCCACUGGUGCUUAAGCCCAAAACGGCGUCGUAUUAUACCCUAUAUAAAUAGCAAAAAUAGAAAAAAAAAAAACAUUUCAGCCUUCAUUUUGUUCUCUCAGUCUCCCUUUCACACCUCUUUUUCCGGCCAUUGGGCCCAGUUGUUGGCCACUGUGAUGGCCGCUGGUCACUGGCGACAGCGGCGCUGUUUGCGGUGGCCGAAAAUGCCAAAACCACACUUUUUCUCCUCUCUUCCCGAGUAGAACCCGGAUUUGGGGUUAAAACGGCCCGAAAGACCCUCGAAAUUCAAAAAACGAAGGAAAAAAAAAAGACAAAACAAAGGGACCUUUUGGUUCCCAGUUGCCGCCGGUGGGGUUUGCGGCGAGCCCACUGACUCAGCCACCCUCAAGACUGGAGAAGUCUCUGACCGCAGCGUUAAAGGUAAUAAAUUUCACCCCUUUUUUAUUUUUUCAAUAUUAUUUAUUUAUUUAUUUUGAAUAAAAAUAUAUAAAAAAGCACCUUGAUUUUCUUUAAAUCUGUUUCAAACUUCUUUUUGUAUUCAGAAUUAGUGUGUGUGUAAAAAAAUUACAAAUAUGAAGUUUGGGCUUUUAUAGCCGGAUUAAAAAACUCUUAGUUUUCUAUUUUUUGUUUGUUUUGCUUGGUUUUUUUGUUGUCUUGUGUGUUGAUCUUGUUGGAACGUCGGCACCCCUACGGCGCAGCGGAAAAUUAAAAUAUUCGGCGAUCCUAACCAUGGAUCCAUGUGUGAGGAACGAAUCGGGGUGAAAUAAGGUUUCGAAAUUACCGAAUCUUUAUUCUGAGAAGACAACAACGGCUCAGCAACGAGUAAUCUGAUCUACUAUCGAACCAAGCCGCAAUCUAUCGUGACUCCGGCUUAUACAUAAUCCACCCAGUUGACAAUGAAUGGAAGGAAUCCCCAAAAUUGUUUUGAAAAACUUUGUUUUGACGGAUGCUAGACCUCAAGCAAAGAAAAACGAGAUUUUUAUAUCUAUUUUUAGGGUUUCUAGAAAUUAAAUAAAUAUAACUAUGUUUUAAACCAAAAAUUAUAAUUACAUUAAUUAUAAUAAUGAUUUCGAUAAACUAUAUAUUUAUUUGAAUUUAUAUACUAACAAAAUUCAUGUUCUCAUUAUGCGUACAACAACCUUGUACAUAAUGUGUUUGAAAUUUGAUUAUCCAUUUAAAUUAAUUCUAUAAUUAAUUUAAUUCAAGCGACAACCAAACACAAUACCAGCUAUGUUUUAUUCCGUUCAUUUCAACUAUAGGUGUGACCCUGUAGGUUCUUGUAACGUUAGCAGUAAUACUAGAACGAUUCUAAUGUUACAAACAAUGAGUGGCCCCUAGCAAUGCAUCAUUACUACCUAAGUCACAAUAAAUCAUGAUUCGACAUAACCUUUUUAUGAUUAACCUUUCAAGCAAUAAUCCUUAAGUCCUUUAUCUCUGGAUUGGACACAAGUCAUGGAAUAGUCACACUUGCAUAGUCCAUUCCAUGUUCCUUGAUAUCUUAAGUAGACUAUGAUAUACAAAUAAGUAUGACAUCUCAUAUCAGCUUAUUUGAGCAUGGUCAUGCAUUUCUAGUCUCACUCAAUCAAGUGGCCUAAGAUAUUACUCCCAUUAUGUAGGAGGGACUUAUCCUAUAUCAAUCAACCAUAUCCCUCUACAUAGAUCGUGGUAUAUCCAACAUCAGCCUUUAUAGAACAACCAGUUACGGUGUACGUUUGACUGUAUCAAAAUAUACAACUCAUGAUGUUGGGAUUAUGAUGAUCUCAAGUUUGAGGAUCAUAUACAUAUUAAUCACUAUGAGUAAUGUUGUGACAAUUACAUAAUAAUCCAAGAAACAUACUCAUAACGGGUCAGUCCAAUAUGUCGUUCUCUAACACACAUAUUCAUGCAUCGAUUUUGGCAUUCCAUAUCAAUGACAACUCUUUAUCAUCAAUCAACUACAUGUUAGUCUUAAUGCAUUAUUGUUGUCCUAUCCAACAAUAAUACUUGACUAAGGAUCUUUUAAGAAUAAUCAUAUUACUCUCAGGACAUUAUUAUAAAACAGUUUAUUUAUACAUACAGAAAAGAAAUUGAAAUAAUAAUGGUAACGCCUUAUAUUAAUAAACAUGAUAAAUGAAGUAUGUUAUUACAACCAUCUCAUGAUUGAUCUUUGGGCAUACUCUAACAGAUCUCUUUUUGCAGGUGUCAAACGCGCGUGGAGGAGGCUGGCGUGCGGCGACGCUGCGGCAGCAAUGGCAGCAGUGGCAGGCCUAGGUACCUUUCUUCCUCUUUUUUAUUAAUAGUCUUUUUUUAAAGAAAAACCAAUUUAAAAGGAAGAAUAAAAAAUGAUAUAUAAAAAAUAAAAUAAUAAAUCGAAAUGAAAGCAGCAACCUUUUCUUUUAUUUCUGAUGUUCGUAACAAAGGGUCCGGACCCCUCUCGUUUUUACAAUCAUCGGCUUUAUAGCCGAAAGAAGAAAAAAGAAAAAAAAUCCCUUCCCCCGUUUUUGUGGUCUGUUUUUGUCUUUUUCCUUGGUUGCGUGUUUGCAAGUGACGGCGCAAGUGGGGUGGUCGACGUGACAAUGGGCAGGGGUUAGGUUCGGCGGUGGCAGAGCAAGUGGCAUGGACAGUGGCGGGUGGACGCUAGCUAGGUGCGGCUGCAGACUAGGGCUUAGGGUUUCCUGUUUCUUUUUUUGUGUUGGGCCAUUUGGGCCGUUUAGGUUUUGUUUAGGAUUGGGCUUGGGUUAGGUUUAAAUUUGUUGGGUCUGUUACUUGUGUUCGGGUUGAUUGGGUUUUGGGCCCCGGACAAAAUUUGGGCUGUACAAAUUCAACAUGUUACAAGAUAAAAUAUUUAGCAUAAUUUUUGGUAUUUCUUCAUAAUAAUUGAUAUACUCUUAUAAUGUUUGAUAUUUCUUCAUAAUUUUCGGUACACUUUUAUAAUUUUUGGUAUUCUCUUAUAAUUUUGGUACAGUUUCGAACUGAAAAUUUGAAAUGAGACCUUUUAGACCGAAAAAAUUAUUAACUUUUAAAUUAUUAUUUUUCAUGCUAAUAUUUAUAUAUAAUGAUAAUUUUUUAAAAAUUAAAAAAUUUAAUAAAAUCAACCAAGUUUUGAUAAUUACUUAUAAUUUUUGGUACUGUUUAAUGUUUUUUUAUAUUUCUUUGUAUUUUUUUUGUAUUCUCUCGUAAGUUUUUGGUGAUUCCUUGGAUACUAAUAUAGUUGCAUAUUUGUCUUGUUGUUUAUUUAAAGUGCGUUUUUCAUUUUUGGGUUGAUUAAAGGUCAAAACUUUGCAUUCUGAUUUUUGUUUCUAUUUUGUUGGUGAGAAAGCAGUGGAAAAUGAAAGAAAAUACUUUAACAUCACAUUAUUUAUUUAUUUUAUUUUAAAGAAAAGGAUGCUUUUUCACACUAAAAUAAGGUUGUAAAACUUCAAACUGCCUCAUGAAUUUUGAAUUGAUCUACACCGAAUGAAGCGGAUUUUUUUUGUUUGAAAAGUGGACGUGGGACGGGGCGGGUGGAGUUUUUUUUCUUUUGAAUAGUGGAUAUGAAGUGACUAUGGUAAUUUCUUGUCAUUUCCGACCUACUCCACUAUAUUCACUUAUUGUUUUAUCUUUGUAUAUAUAAACUAUUGAAAGGGUAAAAAUUUAAUAAUAGAAUAUAGAAAAAAUUCAUAUAUCUUAUGCUUAAAUACAUUUUUUAAAGAAUUAUGCUUAAAUAUUCACUUGACUUCAAAAAGAUUGAAAAAAAAUAAAGAUAAGUACCAACAAUUAAAUUGAAGUGGAGCGGAAUGGGGUGGAGAUGGAUGCAUCCAACAUUCAUGGAGUUGAUAGUGAAUUUCAAGAUUAUACAUCCAUAGCGGAGCGAGAUGGGUGGUAGAGCAGAGCGUACUAAUUAUGAGGCAAUAAUGAAUUUAGAAAUAUCCGUCCUGAUAUUUAAAUUUAGUGAUUGAGAGAGUUAACCCAUAAGUACAUUUUCUCUAUUUUUUUAAUUAAAGAAUGCGAUGUUUGUUUUUUUUUUAAGAAGCAUUACCUUCAAUAGUUAAUAACUUAUUUAUUAAAAAACAAAAAAGGGGUAAAAUAUUUAAAAUAAAAAAUGUGUUAUGCUUUGGCUGAGUAUAUAUAAAGGUUAUAAAAUAUAGAAAUUUAGUUUUAUAAAGAUUUCAUUUAGAUUUUAUUCAGAUUUUAUUUACUAAAGAAUAGUUUGACGUGUAAUUUCAUUCAAAAUUUAUAAUUUCUAAACGAUUCAAUGACGUGUAAAAUAUGUAUAAAAAAUUAAUAAAGUGGUGAAGUACAUGAUCAUUUAAUAAUUCAAAUAAGUCCUCCAUUCCCUCUGUUUUUUUAUUCUAAACGAUAAAAUUAUAUUUUUACUCUUAUAAAAAUAUAUUUUUUAAUUUUAAAUUUUUUAGAAAAGGUUUAAUUUCAUCUUUAUCCUUAAAUUGUACUUCUGGAUUCGUCACAGGAUAUGAACAUUGUUAACCCUACCAUGCACCAAAUACUUGUAUUUAAUAUAAUAAUUUUUUUUUUUUUUUUUGAAUUACAAUAUCAUGGCAAGCCCAAAUAAUAAAUGUAGCUAACGUGAUUCGAAUUCAAACCAUAUCUGAGAUGAGGAGUGAAUACUCUUAACUAUCAAACUAUCGCAUGGAGUUUAAUUUUAUUUAUUUUCAAUUCAAGAAUAAUUCAUAAAUUAUUCUGUUUCUGGAAAGUUGACAAUAAUUGUUUCAGAUUUAGAAUAUUUAUUGCCACGAAUGAGGUAUUGCCAUAAGCUUCCAUAGCCGCCCCCUCAUACUGCUGUAACCUCCUCUUGCUAUAUAUAUAUAUGAUUAUAAUUAAGUCCUUCAGGGAGUGGCGAAGUUCAUAAUUUUUUAAUAAUUCAAAUAAGUCCUCCAUUCCAUCUGCAUGUUUUUUAUUCCAACCAGAGUACCCACCAAUGUCGAACUUCUACAACAAGGUUAUUGGCGAAGGUUGGUUGGGCCGCCAAGACGGAGUGGUUGCGUUCACCAUCACCAAAGUGGCAGCCCCUCUCACGGUGGCCACGUUAGUAAUUAUCUUUUUUUCAUGGUUGGUUAAGAAACUCAUCAUCAAAACCAAGUCGUUGCCGCCGCCGCCACCAGGCCCGAUAGGCCUGCCGAUACUCGGCCACCUCCUUUUCAUCAAACCCGAUUUCCUCCAAUACGUAACCGAGCAAUCCAAAAUCCACGGCCCUAUCAUCAAGCUUCAGCUGGGAAGAAAAGUUUACAUCAUCAUAAGCUCACCAUCAAUCGCAAAACAAAUCCUCAAAGACCACGACGCCAUCUUCACCAACCGCGACAUUCCGGUGGCGGCCAUAAAAGGAACCUUUGGCGGACUCGACAUUGUGUGGAGAUCCAAUGGCCCAGAAUUACACAAGCUACGAAAGCUCGUCGUAAGUGAAAUCAUGAGCAACAAAGGCCUCAAUGCUUGCUACGAGUUUCGCCGACGAGAGAUCCGACAUAUGGUGAAGAAUAUUCAUGGAAAAAUCGGGUCACCCAUUAACCUCAGUGAGCAAAUAUUCUUAACAACGUUCAACGUUACGGUUAACAUGCUUUGGGGUGGUUCGUUGAAUGGAGAAGAAUCGAACCUUGGGCUUGAAUUUAAGGAUCGAUUCGAGGAAUUUUUGAGAUUGAUGGUAGAACCCAAUGUUUCUGAUAUGUUCCCGGUGCUCAGGCCAUUUGAUUUGCAAGGAAUUGAAUCCAAAGCCAAGAAAAAUAUUUCAUGGUUUUUUGAGUUUUUCGAAUCGGUGAUAGAGCAGCGAAGGAAGCUCGGAGAGGGACCAAAAAUGGCUGAUAGUAAGGAUUUUUUGCAGCAAUUGUUGGAGCUGAACCAAACAGGAGAUGUCAAAACUUCAUUAUCCAUGAAGGAAAUAAACGCUGUGCUGCUGGUAAGCAUACACACUAAAUUUUGAAAUCCGGAAUUCUAAAAAUAUAACUACAUUACUAAAUUUCAAAAAUUUACAAAAACUAACAUAUUUUAACCUAGGGGGUAUAUCAGUGUAAAACAAGUUUAAGUGGUUUUACAUUCUUUCUUAACCUUUUAAACGAAUAAUAUUUUAAUAAAACAACGGUCAUAUUUCAUAAAUUAUUCAUGUACAUCAUGCACAUCAAGUUUGGUAUAAAUUAAAAAAGUUUAACUAUUCGCUUUUUGUAAAAAAAAUUCAAAUGUUCAUUCGUUAAAAUAUUAAUCAUACAAGAAUAUACAAAAAUAUGUAAAUUACUCAAAUUUCACAUCGAUGUAAAUUGAUUCUUUCCCUUAUAUAUAGGCAUGGUUUAAAAAAAUACAUAACAAUCCAUGAAAUUGGUCGGUUUAGUUGUAAACAAUAUGAUUUUGGAGAUUUCUGAUAUGUUUUGUAGGGUGUGUAAUUGGUUGAUUUAAUUAGUUCAGCUUAAAAAGAGUAAUCGAUUUUUCUAAAAUAAAAAUUAGUAACCGAGCUGAUUUAAAGAUGAAAACACAAAAAUAUUUAAUUAAAAAAUAAGGAAUAUUGAUGGAUUUCAUUGUUUUUGUUAAAAUAUAAUGAAUAAAUCUGAAAUCCUGAAUAAUGGGUACAUUUAAUUGAUUGUAACUUAUUUUAAAGUAUAUAAAAUCCAGCGCUAUUGAUAUACAUUCAACCUAUAUAAUGUAUUUUAAUUUAACACUCUAAUCAUAAUUAAAUUAAUUAAAUUAUCUCAAUUAAUUUGAUUUUAAUUAAAAUCUGCUCAACUUUAAUCCUUUGUCUCAAAUUGUGGGUAUAGAAUAUUGUAAACGGUGCUACGGACACAACAUUUACAACAAUGGAGUGGGCGAUGACGGAAUUACUACGACACCCAGAUAAAUUGCGAAGAGUCGUCGACGAAUUGGAUGCAAUAAUCGGUGGCCCAAACAUCGUUGAAGAGUUCCAUCUUCCUCGCCUACUCUAUUUAGAAGCUGUGGUGAAAGAGACGUUACGAAUUCACCCACCGGCUCCUUUGCUAAUGCCACACAUGCCGAGCGAGACCAUCGUCGUAGCCGGUUACACUAUCCCAAAAAAUUCCAAUAUUUUCUUCAAUGUGUGGGCAAUACAAAGGGACGCCGAGUUCUGGGAAGACCCUCUUCAAUUCGAGCCAGAAAGGUUCUUGAAUGUCAUUGAGAAAAGGAAUUAUAAGGGAAAUAGUUUCGAUUUUUUCCCGUUUGGAUCGGGGAGGAGGAUUUGUGUUGGGAUUUCAAUGGCAGAGAAAAUUAUGAUGCUGGUGUUGGCGACGUUGUUGCAUUGUUUCGAAUGGGAAUUGUCGAAUGGGCAAAAACCUGAUGUGAAAGAGCAACUGCGAUUGGUGUUGUCGAAGGUGGAGCCGCUUAUUGUUGUGUCCAUUGCGCGUUCAUCUAAUUCAAUGCAAUAUCAAUAAAUUUGUGGUUAAAAUAUGCUUUAAGUCAUUAUGCUUUUCAUAAAUUUUAAAUUUAAUCCUUGUACUUUUAUUUAUAGAAAUUUAAUCUAUCUACUUAUUUUUAUUAGUAUUCACGCUCAUAUUUAAGUUAAUUCAAAUAUUUGUUUGGAUUCAAUUUAACUCAAUUUUCGAGUUUUAUUUAAAAUUUGAAACUUAAUCAAAAUUUAAACUUUGUCAUGAAUCUCAAAAUUUGAUUUUUUUUUUUUUUUUUUUAAAUGAAACCCGAAAUGUGGAAUUACAUAAAACUUGAAGUUGAAGCUCGAGACUAGUGAAUCAAUGUUAUAUUAAGGUAUAAAUAAGAUAUUUUGUGUUUAUAUUAUAAUUUCAUUAUUAAUAUGCAUAAGUGGUAAUAAUAUAAUAUUAAAAGGAAAAGAGAUAAGCAUGGUGAGUGGGGCGACGUUCACCCUACCAUGCAUCAAAUAGAUGCUGAUUUGAAUAUAUAUACAUAUACAUAUAUAAAGAAAAGAGAUAAUCACAAUUACUCGGUUAGUAUGAAUAUUAUUGAUCUUAUUAUCUGUUAAAUACUUACAUUUAAUGCAAUAAAUAAGUUUAGUUUGAUUUAUUUUCAUAAAUUGUUCUGUGUAAUUACAAUCAAAAUUUCUAUCUCUAGAAAGUUCAACAUUUCUGGAAAGUUGAUGAUUAAUUGUUUAUCACAUUUAGAAUAUUUAUGGCGACAGAGGAGGAAAUGCUAUUACCUCCAAUAGCCGCAACCUCAUAUUGCUGUAAUCUCGUUUUAUUAUAUAUGAUUGUAAAUAAGUCUUCCAAUUCCCAGGGAAGUGGUGAAUUACAUAAUUUUUUAAUAAUUCAAAUAAGUACUUCAUUCCCUCUGCUUUUUUUUCUAUUCCAACCAGACUACCCACCCAUGUCGAACUUCUACGAUAAGGUUGCUGGCGAAGGUUGGUUGCGCCGCCACGACGGACUGGCUGCGUUCACCAUCACCGAAGUGGUAGCCACUCUCACGGUGGCGACGUUAGUAAUUAUCUAUUUCUCACGGUUGGUUAAGAAACUCAUCAUCAAAACCAAGCCUUCGCCGCUGCCGCCACCAGGCCCGAUAGGCCUGCCGAUACUCGGCCACCUCCUUUUCAUCAAACCCGAUUUCCUCCAAUACGUAACCGAGCAAUCCAAAAUCCACGGCCCUAUCAUCAAGCUUCAGCUGGGAAGAAAAGUUUACAUCAUCAUAAGCUCACCAUCAAUCGCAAAACAAAUCCUCAAAGACCACGACGCCAUCUUCGCCAACCGCGACAUUCCGGUGGCGGCCAUAAAAGGAACCUUUGGCGGACUCGACAUUGUNNNNNNNNNNNNNNNNNNNNNNNNNNNNNNNNNNNNNNNNNNNNNNNNNNNNNNNNNNNNNNNNNNNNNNNNNNNNNNNNNNNNNNNNNNNNNNNNNNNNCCUCAAUGCUUGCUACGAGUUUCGCCGACGAGAGAUCCGACAUAUGGUGAAGAAUAUUCAUGGAAAAAUCGGGUCAUCCAUUAACCUCAGUGAACAAAUAUUCUUAACAACGUUCAACGUUACGGUUAACAUGCUUUGGGGUGGUUCGUUGAAUGGAGAAGAAUCGAACCUUGGGCUUGAAUUUAAGGAUCGAUUCGAGGAAUUUUUGAGAUUGAUGGUAGAACCCAAUGUUUCUGAUAUGUUCCCGGUGCUCAGGCCAUUUGAUUUACAAGGAAUUGAAUCCAAAGCCAAGAAAAAUAUUUCGUGGUUUUAUGAGUUUUUCGAAUCGGUGAUAGAGCAGCGAAAGAAGCUCGGAGAGGGACCCAAAAUGGCUGAUAGUAAGGAUUUUUUGCAGCAAUUGUUGGAGCUGAACCAAACAGGAGAUGUCAAAACUUCAUUAUCCAUGAAGGAAAUAAACGCUGUCUUGCUGGUAAGCAUACACACUAAAUUUUGAAAUCCGGAAUUCUAAAAAUAUAACUA
rnacentral:lncRNA from 1 species